rnacentral:rRNA from 1 species
UACAGAGGUCCCGAGCGUUGUUCGGAUUCAUUGGGCGUAAAGGGUGCGUAGGCGGCGGGGCCAGUCUGAUGUGAAAUCCCGGGGCUCAACCCCGGAACUGCAUUGGAUACUGCCUUGCUAGAGUACUGGAGAGGGAACUGGAAUUUACGGUGUAGCAGUGAAAUGCGCAGAUAUCGGGAGGAACACCAGUGGCGAAGGCGGCACUCUGGGCCGGAACUGACGCUGAGGAGCGAAAGCGUGGGGAGCGAACAGG